rnacentral:rRNA from 1 species
CACGGCGCACGGGUGCGUAACACGUGGGUAAUCUGCCCUCUGAUGGGGAAUAACUCGCCGAAAGGCGAGCUAAUUCCGCAUAACAUUCCUUGGACUCAGGUUCGAGGAUUCAAAGGCGUAAGUCGUCGGAGGAGGAGCCCGCGCACGAUUAGCUAGUUGGUAGGGUAAUGGCCUACCAAGGCUUUGAUCGUUAGCUGGUCUGAGAGGAUGGCCAGCCACACUGGAACUGAGACACGGUCCAGACUCCUACGGGAGGCAGCAGUGGGGAAUCUUGCACAAUGGGCGAAAGCCUGAUGCAGCGACGCCGCGUGGGGGAUGAAGCUUCUCGGAGUGUAAACCCCUUUCGACCGGGACGAAUACCUCGCAAGAGGGGUGACGGUACCGGUAUAAGAAGCCCCGGCUAACUACGUGCCAGCAGCCGCGGUAAGACGUAGGGGGCCAGCGUUGCUCGGAAUUACUGGGUGUAAAGGGUUCGUAGGCGGUGUGGCAAGUCGGGAGUGAAAUCUCUGAGCUUAACUCAGGGCCUGCUUCCGAAACUGCUGUGCUAGAGUGUGGGAGAGGCGCGUGGAAUUGCAGGUGUAGCGGUGAAAUGCGUAGAUAUCUGCAGGAACACCCGUGGCGAAAGCGGCGCGCUGGACCACUAC